AGUUUGACCCCGGAAGUGCGGGCGCUCAGGGAGCUGUCACCGUGGUCGGCGGCGGCGGCGGCGGCGGCGGCACAGAGCCGGUGGUGGAGCCGCCGAGGCCACCUCGUGUAUGCAGAGACCAUGUGUGUCUGAUCUGCUGGGAUCCUAGAGCUGGAACAGGUGUCAAGGACUAGGCAGACUGGUCCUCUCUUAUUACUCCUUCUAGGGUGGGGAUCUUCACAGUCUUUAUAACAGGCCAGAACCAAGGUUCCUUGGGUACCAGGCUGUUUCCACCUCCUUGCCUUUGCUCUGCUGUUUCCUCUGCCUGGGGCACCCUUCUUCCCUGGCCAGUCUCUAUUAUCAAGACUACUCAGACUCUCCUCUAGAAGUGCUUUGACUUUCACUCCACCCCUUCACCCCGUCUCACCCCUAAGUUUAACUAAACUAGACACAGUAUAGUGAAUAGUUAAGAACCAGCCUGCUUCACCACCCACUAACUGUGAGACCUUGGGCAAGUUUCUUAUUUUCUGUGAGCCUCUGUUUUGUCACUGAUAAAAUGAGGAUAAUAAUAGAACUAACCUUA
rnacentral:lncRNA from 1 species